GCAUUGCAUUGAUGAAUUAUGAAUUUUCGCAUGUCAGACUUCAGAGAUGCCUUUGGUGUCAAUGAGAGUAAUUUCAUAUGACUGAGCAAUGA
rfam:Triticum urartu cultivar G1812 contig815232, whole genome shotgun sequence.